rnacentral:ncRNA from 1 species
UCGUCGGCAUCGAAUGGCGGUUCGACAGAUUCGUCAUGAGAGGGAACCCGGUGUGAAUCCGGGACUGUCCCGCAGCGGUAUGCAGGAACGACCGCCGUCAUCGGCACUGGUCCACGGCCCUGGGACCGGGAAGCGACGGCCAGUAGGAGCGCCGUUUCGGUGUGUGCCUGUGAGUCCGAAGACCUGCCAGCUGCGCCGGGCGCGG